GAAAAGCUGUGAUGGUACUGACAUCUCACGUAAGCAGCUGAGGUCCCAUUUAUGUGGGAAAAUAUGGACCCAUUUUACCAAAUUCCAGGAGAAGAGGCUCACCAAAGUCUGAAUUGAUAUGAUCCAAGUGGAUUCAAGUGACAUAAGAGGUGUUGACACUGAAAGCAGUCUCUAACAAACUUCCUGCAUGCAAACCUUUAUCUCAGAGUUCCUGGGAACUUCUACCAAUGAUGUUACCAAAAUAUGGACCUAUAUAGGUAGGGAGCAAUGUGGGCACAUUUCAGCAGUAAUUUUAAGAACAAAAUUCCAUUGGUAAAGCUGGUCUGUUCAUUGAAUAAACUAUGAAACCCUUAAAAGGCAGUAUCACCCAACCAUCAAAGAGCAUAAAGAAGAUCUCUCUGAAGUACUAGUGAUAUUCCAUAUUAUAAAAAGAUAAAGAAAAGAAAGAAAGGUGCAGAACAGCGUAUAUAAUAUGCAAACUUUUCAUAGGAGAAAAGAAGAACUAAUAUAAAAACAAUCAUUUGCUUAUUUUGAUAUAAAAGUAAUAGAGUAAUAAAUGAAAGUGGCUACAUAAAGUGGAUGGGUGUGAAUAAAAUAGAAAAGAGAGAUAAG